rnacentral:rRNA from 1 species
CAGCAGCCGCGGGAAUACGUAGGUGGCAAGCGUUGUCCGGAAUUAUUGGGCGUAAAGGGCUCGCAGGCGGUUUCUUAAGUCUGAUGUGAAAGCCCCCGGCUCAACCGGGGAGGGUCAUUGGAAACUGGGAAACUUGAGUGCAGAAGAGGAGAGUGGAAUUCCACGUGUGGCGGUGAAAUGCGUAGAGAUGUGGAGGAACACCAGUGGCGAAGGCGACUCUCUGGUCUGUAACUGACGCUGAGGAGCGAAAGCGUGGGGAGCGAACAGGAUUAGAUACCCCAGUAGUCCCUGUCUCUUAUAC